UUGACUUGACCUAUGGGAACCUCGUGUUCUU
rnacentral:piRNA from 1 species